rnacentral:RNase_P_RNA from 1 species
GCGGAUGGCCGGAUGGCCGCGGGCUUCGUGCCCGAGGAAAGUCCGGACUCCACGGAGGAACGGCGCCGGGUAACGCCCGGCCGGCGCAAGCCGAGGGACAGCGCCACAGAGAACAGUCCGCCCCGGCCUGUCCGGGGCAAGGGUGAAACGGUGGGGUAAGAGCCCACCGCGGGCCUGGCAACAGGUCCGGCACGGCAAGCCCCGCCGGGAGCAAGGCCAAAUAGGGAUCGCGUGCGGCGCAAGCCGCAGGGGCGCCUCCGCCCCGAGCAGGUCCGGGUUGGCUGCCCGAGCCGGUCCGCAAGGGCCGGCCCAGACGAAUGGCCAUCGGGACGCGCAAGCGUCUUACAGAAUCCGGCUUACAGGCCAUCCGCAUCC